CCUAAACAACGGCAAGUGUUUCAAAAGGAUAAAUCAUGUUUUGGACAAGCCAAAAGCAAUGAGUGUAAAAACAAUAUAAAAUUAGUGUGCGUUUUAAUAAAUGUUCGCUUUUCUUAUAUAACUACAAAAUCGUAUUAAAGUAUAAGUUAAUUUAGUUCAUCACAUAAAUAAUGAUUAAAAGGCGUUGAUAUGCAGCGUAUAUAACUCGUUGGCGAUCGAAUGUGAAUGUGAAUCAUUAGAAUAAUUAGCAAGUGUGAGCAGCUGCUGCCUGGGGAGUGAAAAUGUGCAAAACAACGAUGGGGACCCCCUCCUAUAAAUAAUAUGUGAUAUACGCUAACAAUCAUUGUCAGUAAGUGGUAAAUUCUUUCAUAUUAUCGGACAUUUAUUUGUGUGCAAACAGUGUCUGCAUGAGAAAGAAGUGCUUCAACAAAGUGCUAAAGAAUAUCGUGGAAAACAAGGACUUUAUUGACCCCAAACAUCAUUAAGAAUUUUAGUAAUGGAAAAUUAUUCAAAAAAACAGAAAAAACAUUGUCAAUAAGUCUAUAUUCAAACUGGCUCUUUAGAUAUGUACCAAUAAAAUAGAAUCUGUGAGCUCCUUGUCGUACUGUAAAGAUACGUAGAAAAAGAAAAAGAGAGAAAGAGAGAGAGGAAAAGAAAACGAGAGACACAUUCAAUAACAAAAUCAUCUCACAAUACCAUGAAAUCGCAAAAACAAAAUGGACAAUCAUUAUGCACUUUGUACAUAGGACCUUAUAAAGCUUAUGUAUUACGUAUAAUUUUGACGAAACUUCAGUUGGGUGCAAAUUUUGAGCGAUUAAUUUUUUUUUUCAUUUUAUUUAUUUAAUUUUUUUUUAGGAAAAUAGCGCAAUCUACAAGCUUAUGAUUAUACCUAUAAUUUCAGAGUCAGGUCUGUUCUCAUACACAAUUUAGAAUAGAUUUUUUGUCUCCGAUUAUCAUUUUUAACAUGAUUUUACGGAUUGAAUCUGCUUCAAUUAUUACAAAAUUUGAGAAUAAUUUGCAAAAGCUUAGCGAAAGCCGGAACAGAUCUGAAUGUAUAAAAAAUAAUAAUAUAAUUGAAUUAUAAAACUAUGGAACGUUGAAAGCUUUUGUAGAAGCCACGUCUUAUGAUGUGGGCUGUAACUAUAAAUUCUCUCUAGUCUUAUUACAAUUCUACUACUUACCGUUGUUCUUCAGAGCGGCAUCUUUCUCGGCCGUGAAAAUAUUUGAGGCCAUGCGAUUCUUCAUGGUUCGUGGAGUUUGAGGCAU